rnacentral:rRNA from 1 species
CGCUGGCGGCAUGCCUAACACAUGCAAGUCGAACGGGUGGUUCCUUCGGGGAUCACUUAGUGGCGAACGGGUGAGUAACGCGUGAGAAAACCUGCCUUUCAGUGGGGGACAACAGUUGGAAACGACUGCUAAUACCGCAUAAUGUUAUCGAGCGGCAUCGCUUGAUACCAAAGCUUUAUGUGCUGAAAGAUGGUCUCGCGUCUGAUUAGCUAGUUGGUGAGGUAACGGCUCACCAAGGCGACGAUCAGUAGCCGGUCUGAGAGGAUGAACGGCCACAUUGGGACUGAGAUACGGCCCAGACUCCUACGGGAGGCAGCAGUGGGGAAUAUUGGGGCAAUGGGGGAAACCCUGACCCAGCAACGCCGCGUGAAGGAAGAAGGCCUUCGGGUUGUAAACUUCUUUUACCAGGGACGAAGAACGUGACGGUACCUGGAGAAAAAGCAACGGCUAACUACGUG